AGUAGAGUUGGGGUUUCGCCAUGUUGGUCAGGCUGGUCACGAACUCCUGACCUCAAAUGAUCCGUCCGCCUCGGCCUCCCAAACUUCGGGGAUUACAGGCGUGAGCCCCGGCGCCCAGCCCUGGAUGCCUUGUAAAUCACUACUCACCCAGGAAGAGCCAGCGACAGGCCCCGCCCCCGCCAACCGCCUCGCGCCUUCCGUCGCCCGGUUUCCAUGGUGACGGGGCGCCAGGCUAGGGCGGCCUGGCCACUGAGCCGGGGUGCAGUGGCAGCGGGAGAGUACCUGGCGAUGGCGAUAUGAGCGGUGCGGGGGUGGCGGCUGGGACGCGGCCCCCCAGCUCGCCGACCCCGGGCUCUCGGCGCCGGCGCCAGCGCCCCUCUGUGGGCGUCCAGUCCUUGAGGCCGCAGAGCCCGCAGCUCAGGCAGAGCGACCCGCAGAAACGGAACCUGGACCUGGAGAAAAGCCUGCAGUUCCUGCAGCAGCAGCACUCGGAGAUGCUGGCCAAGCUCCAUGAGGAGAUCGAGCAUCUGAAGCGGGAAAACAAGGAUCUCCAUUACAAGCUCAUAAUGAAUCAGACAUCACAGAAGAAAGGUGAGAACUGGGCCCUUCAGUGACUGAUGGGAUGCUCUUGCCACCCAGGGGAGCCCCUCCAGACUGUCCUUGCCCACCUGGCUGCACUGGCCCCUGUAUGCCAACCCAGUGGGUACAGGUUCUGGGGGACCUGGACAGAUGCCGCUACCUCUAGCCGUGGCUGGACGAUGUUAUGCAGCCAAGCACAGCACGUGCUGCUCUCGGGAAGCCCAGGGCCUGAGGUCAUUGCAGUGGGGAGGUGGGCACAGGGUGCUCCCCAGACCUCCCUCCUCCAAGUAGAGCUGAAAUGGGAAGGAACCCCUGGGACAGCCCCUGCCCUGCUAGAUCUUUGCCUCAGAUUGCUGCUGUGGCCAGGCCCAGGAUUUCCAGCCCUAUGGCUCUGAGUCCUCACAUGCUGGGGGCCCAGGGGCUCUGGACACACUCCAUCCAGGGAUCCCUUCCUGCCAUCUGGGCAGCAACCAUGGGGACAAAGGGAGGAAGCAGAGUCCU
rnacentral:lncRNA from 10 species